rnacentral:rRNA from 1 species
GGACUACAAGGGUAUCUAAUCCUGUUUGCUACCCACGCUUUCGCGCCUCAGCGUCAAUGUCGGUCCAGUUGGCCGCCUUCGCCACGGGUAUUCUUCCCAAUCUCUACGAAUUUCACCUCUACACUGGGAAUUCUACCAACCUCUACCGAAUUCUAGUAAUGUAGUUUUGAAUGCAAUUCCCGGGUUGAGCCCAGGGCUUUCACAUCCAACUUACAAAACCGCCUACGCGCCCUUUACGCCCAGUAAAUCCGAACAACGCUAGCUCCCUUCGUAUUACCGCGGCUGCUGGCAC